rnacentral:rRNA from 1 species
AUUGAACGCUGGCGGCAGGCCUAACACAUGCAAGUCGAGCGGAUGAAGGGAGCUUGCUCCUGGAUUCAGCGGCGGACGGGUGAGUAAUGCCUAGGAAUCUGCCUGGUAGUGGUGGAUAACGUCCGGAAACGGGCGCUAAUACCGCAUACGUCCUGAGGGAGAAAGUUGGGGAUCUUCGGACCUCACGCUCUCAGAUGAGCCUAGGUCGGAUUAGCUAGUUGGUGGGGUAAAGGCCUACCAAGGCGACGAUCCGUAACUGGUCUGAGAGGAUGAUCAGUCACACUGGAAGUGAGACACGGUCAAGACUCCUACGGGAGGCAGCAGUGGGGAAUAUGGGACAAUGGGCGAAAGCCUGAUACAGCCAUGCCGCGUGUGUGAAGAAGGUCUUCGGAUUGUAAAGCACUUUAAGUUGGGAGGAAGGGCAGUAAGUUAAUACCUUGCUGUUGUGACGUUACCAACAGAAUAAGCACCGGCUAACUUCGUG